UACGUAGGGUGCAAGCGUUGUCCGGAAUUAUUGGGCGUAAAGGGUGCGUAGGCGGUCUGACAAGUCUGAUGUGAAAUCUAUGGGCUCAACCCAUAGUCUGCAUCGGAAACUGUCGGGCUGGAGUAUGGGAGAGGUGAGUGGAAUUUCCGGUGUAGCGGUGAAAUGCGUAGAUAUCGGAAGGAACACCUGUGGCGAAAGCGGCUCACUGGACCAUUACUGACGCUGAUGCACGAAAGCUAGGGGAGCAAACAGG
rnacentral:rRNA from 1 species